GUAGUGACGAAAAAUAACGAUGCAGAACUCUUUCCGAGGCUCUGCAAUCGGAAUGAGAACAUUCUAAACAACUUAACGAGUAUCCAUUGGAGGGCAAGUCUGGUGCCAGCAGCCGCGGUAAUUCCAGCUCCAAUAGCGUAUAUUAAAGUUGUUGCGGUUAAAAAGCUCGUAGUUGGACUUGUGUUCCGCGCCGUCGGUUCGCCGCUCGUCGGCGUUUUAACUGACGUGUCGCGGCACGUCCUGCCGGUAGGCCGAGAGGCGCAGAUGUCGCAUCGCGUUUCGGGGAAUGCGGAGAAUUCCGUUUCGAUUUUAGUCUUCGGACGGAUCGGAUCAGGGUCUUUUAGCGCCCCGCCGGUCGCUCUGCCAACCUGGAGGCCAGUCUUUUUACCCCCGUCGCGGUGCUCUUUACCGAGCGUCGAGGCGGGCCGGCAUAUUCACUUUGAACAAACUUGAGUGCUCAAAGCAGGCCGCAGUCGCCCGAAAAUUAAUUGCAUGGAAUGAUGGAAUAGGGCCACGGCACCGUUUUGUUGGUUUACGGUGAUCCGAGGCAAUGAUUAACGGGGACGGGCGGGGGCAUUAGUAUUGCGACGUUAGAGGUGAAAUUCUUGGAUCGUCGCAAGACUGACGAAAGCGAAAGCAUUUGCCAAGGAUGUUUUCAUUAAUCAAGAACGAAAGUUAGAGGUUCGAAGGCGAUCAGAUACCGCCCUAGUUCUAACCAUAAACGAUGCCAGCCAGCGAUCCGCCGAUGUUCCUCCGAUGACUCGACGGGCAGCUUACGGGAAACCAAAGCUUUUGGGUUCCGGGGGAAGUAUGGUUGCAAAGCUGAAACUUAAAGGAAUUGACGGAAGGGCACCACCAGGAGUGGAGCUUGCGGCUUAAUUUGACUCAACACGGGAAACCUCACCAGGCCCANACACCGGAAGGAUUGACAGAUUGAGAGCUCUUUCUUGAUUCGGUGGGUGGUGGUGCAUGGCCG
rnacentral:rRNA from 1 species